rnacentral:rRNA from 1 species
AGAAUCAACGCUGGCGGCGUGCCUAACACAUGCAAGUCGAACGAGAAAGUGGAGCAAUCCAUGAGUAAAGUGGCGACCGGGUGAGUAACACGUGACUAACCUACCUUCGAGUGGGGGAUAACCUCGGGAAACCGAGGCUAAUACCGCAUAACAUCGUGAGAUCAAAGCAGUAAUGCGCUGGAAGAGGGGGUCGCGGCUGAUUAGCUAGUUGGCGGGGUAAUGGCCCACCAAGGCGAAGAUCGGUAGCCGGCCUGAGAGGGGCGCGACCGGACCGACGACCUGGAACGUGAAACACGGUCCAGACUCCUACGGGAGGCAGCAGUGGGGAAUUUUGCGCAAUGGGGGAAACCCUGACGCAGCAACGCCGCGUGGAGGAUGAAGUCCCUUGGGACGUAAACUCCUUUCGACCAAGACGAUAAUGACGGUACUGGUGGAAGAAGCACCGGCUAACUCUGUGCCAGCAGCCGC